rnacentral:rRNA from 1 species
GAGUUUGAUCAUGGCUCAGAUUGAACGCUGGCGGCAUGCCUUACACAUGCAAGUCGAACGGCAGCAUGAUCUAGCUUGCUAGAUUGAUGGCGAGUGGCGAACGGGUGAGUAAUACAUCGGAACGUGCCCUGUAGUGGGGGAUAACUAGUCGAAAGAUUAGCUAAUACCGCAUACGACCUGAGGGUGAAAGUGGGGGACCGCAAGGCCUCAUGCUAUAGGAGCGGCCGAUGUCUGAUUAGCUAGUUGGUGGGGUAAAGGCCCACCAAGGCGACGAUCAGUAGCUGGUCUGAGAGGACGAUCAGCCACACUGGGACUGAGACACGGCCCAGACUCCCACGGGAGGCAGCAGUGGGGAAUUUUGGACAAUGGGCGAAAGCCUGAUCCAGCAAUGCCGCGUGUGAAGAAGGCCUCGG